AUUGAGAUGGCAGAGUUAGUGCAUAGGGUUUAAGCUCCUAUUAGGGAAUAAAUUAAUAUAUUCCUCUUAAUA
rnacentral:tRNA from 1 species